AACCAAUACCCGCACCUUUUCCCACUCCUUUCCGCAACCCCCCACAUCCUCAAAAUUCUAUUGCACUUCACCCCACAGAAAAAUUCCCAGAUCCCAUCUUCUCAACUCUCUCACUCUCUCCUUCACAACAUUCCCAGUUCUCUCAGCACCAAUCACAUGGGUGUGAGCAACAAAAUCACAGCGCUGCUCAACUUCAUUGCCUUCCUCAGCUCAAUCGCCAUAAUUGGUGCUGGCAUCUGGCUUUCCUCCAAGGCAGACAACCAGUGCACCCGCUACUUCAGAUGGCCAGUCCUCAUCCUGGGCACUCUGCUUUUGCUAGUCUCUCUCUGUGGCUUCAUUGGCGCUUUCUGGAACAAGAAAAGGUUCUUGGUCUUCUACCUCUUCUGCAUGGCCCUGCUCAUAGUCCUCAUCCUCGUACUCCUCGUGUUCGCCUUUGUGGUGACAAGGCCUGAUGGGAGCUACUCUGUGCCUGGGAGAGGGUAUAAAGAGUACAGGCUUGGUGGGUUCUCUUCUUGGUUGAGGGACCAUGUGACGAAUUCUGGGAAUUGGGGAAACAUCAGGAGGUGCAUUGCCGAGUCUGAUGUUUGUGUGAAGUUGGAUCAGGAGUAUGUGACUGCUGAUCAGUUCUUUGCCGCUCAUAUAUCCCCAAUUCAGUCAGGGUGUUGCAAGCCACCAACGGCGUGCGGCUACACGUACACGAACCCGACAAUGUGGCUGAACCCGGUGAACCCCAAUGCAGACCCGGAUUGCUACCUGUGGAGCGACGUCCAGACCCAACUCUGCUACAACUGCAACUCGUGCAAGGCUGGUCUCUUGGGCAACCUGAGGAGUGAAUGGAGGAGGGCCAACGUUAUCCUGAUCGUGGCCUCGGUUGUCCUCAUCUGGGUUUACCUCAUCGCCUGCUGCGCCCUCCGGAACGCACAGACCGAGGAGCUCUUCCGCCGCUACAAGGAGGGUUGGGUCUGAUCUACUACGCCUGCUUCCAAUCACAACACCCCAGUUUACUUCUCUUUCUUUGUUUUUAAUUUCUCCACUUUUCUCCACUUUGAGGAAAGCCUAGUUGUUUAUGGAGUGUUCUGUUGUAUAGUCUGGUUCCUUUUCUCUCUUGGAAGUAUAGAAGCCAGAGCAGAAAAUAAGCCAAGGGAUUGAUUUCUACCAAGUCUGAAUUUUGUCCUGAAUAAUGUAAAGCAAAGAAAUAAAGUGGCAUGCCAAUUGUGCAAGCUCUUAGUUUACUAGC